rnacentral:rRNA from 1 species
UACAGAGGUCUCAAGCGUUGUUCGGAUUCAUUGGGCGUAAAGGGUGUGUAGGUGGCGCGCUAAGUCGGGUGUGAAAUUUCGGAGCUUAACUCCGAAACUGCAUUCGAUACUGGCGUGCUUGAGGACUGGAGAGGAGACUGGAAUUUACGGUGUAGCAGUGAAAUGCGUAGAUAUCGUAAGGAAGACCAGUGGCAAAGGCGGGUCUCUGGACAGUUCCUGACACUGAGACACGAAGGCCAGGGGAGCAAACGGG